UUCCUGCCUUGGCUUCCCAAAGAACUGGGAUUACAGGGUAGCAGUUUCAGGACAACAUUUGGGAAACACACUUUGGAGGACCAACAAAGCUGAUCUAGAUAAAGUACCAGCACUCAAGAGCAGAAAAUUGAAGCAAAAAUAAGCAGGAGUGGGUGACUAUUCUACACCCUGGAAAACUGCAACAGGUUAUUUUGUUUAUUUAAGCAAGCAGCUAUAUUACAUUUAAUUGUAUGCCAGGCAUAGAUCUAAGUGCUUUACAAAGAGAAACUAAUUUAAUCCUAUUGUAUGAGAUUGAUUAUACUAUUACUAUUCCUCUCUUACAUAUAACAUGAGAGGCACAGAGAAGUUAAGUAAGUUGGCCAAGAUCACACAGCUGAGAUUCAUAUCAUGACUUUAUAGUUCGAUGUAUAAAAGGUUCAAAAAUUAUUCAUUUAAUUCAGAAUCUUCAGAAACUGAUGACAAGCUCAUUUUUAUUACGAUUUAUAAAAAAAAUUCAUAAUAUGUAAUCCUCGCUGUCAUUUAAAGGGUGACUUUCAUAGGGACCAGGCAGGGUCUUUUGCAGGCCCAGUCUUAUUUAAUGCAAUCUCCCCUAUGAGGUAGGUAUUAUGAUUCCUACCUUGCAGGUGGAGAAACAGGAGAAGUGACUUGCACAAGAGCACAUAACUCAGCUAGUUGAUGGGGGGUCCAGGAUUCAAAAUGGACUCCAAAGAUGGUGUUAUGUUUAGCCACAAUGCCAACAGGACUCUAAGAUCCACUAGCAAGAAGAGUGAAGGCAGAGUGCAAACUGUGCAAGUCGGUCUGGCUCAUGGCAACUAGAGUCUAAAUCAAAGUGCCUAGCCAGAAUUCUCCAGCAGUGUGCCAAGUGACUGGAAGCUGGAGAACCUCCUGGGGUCCUUUGGUGAGCUUGGAUUUUUCUGGUGAGUGAUUACUGCCGAGGCCUGGGACAAGGCCCCCCAUUGUUGUCAUCUUUCUCUUGACCUCAUGAUUAGUCCCUGUCCCUUCUUAAUUUCUGUCCUUCACUGGCUUUUCUCUUCCCUGGACCUUUGAGUGGCAGGGAGUAGAGGUACAAGAUUUGGCUUCAAUCCUUCAAUCUUUUUGUGGGUUUUUCUCCUCCUGGUAACUACGCAGCACAUUAUAAAGUUACAGGAACUCGGCUGGGCGCAGUGGCUCACGCCUGUAAUCCCAGAACUUUGGGAGGCCGAGGCAGGCAGAUCAC